GCCUACGACCAUAUCACCCUGAAUGCGCCCGAUCUCGUCUGAUCUCGGAAGCUAAGCAUGGUCGAGCCUGAUUAGAACUUGGAUGGGAGACUGCCUGGGAAUACCAGGUGUUGUAGGCU
ensembl:rRNA 5S_rRNA 5S ribosomal RNA